rnacentral:tRNA from 1 species
GGAAGAGUGGCCGAGUGGCUUAAGGCGGCGGUCUUGAAAACCGCAGUGGGGCAACCCACCGGGGGUUCGAAUCCCUCCUCUUCCG